AAACCAUGUUUAGCCCAAAAUAACCUUGAAUUUAAUAAAAUUUUGUUUUUGCCAAAAUAACUUGCAAGAAUUAUGAUAUUUUAUCAGGCAUGCAAAGACACCAGUGAAAUUAAGAUGUUUGGUUUAAUUUAUCUUAUCUGAAUAUCUGCUGUCACGCAUAACAUUCAUUAUUUGACCGUAUUUCAAAGAUAAACAAAAUCCAGUUACAACUCCGAACCGCUAGAUGGCAGCAGUACACAAACACGAGGCCAAAUCUCACGAGAAAGAUUUCCGCUGUUUGAAAAGCAACAACAUCAGCGAGCAGCCACGAGGAAAGUAUGUACCACACUCGUUUGGUCUUGUGUCAAAGCUGUGCGAAACUGGAGGGAGAAACUUGAGAGACCGUGCCGGAAGAAUGCUGGACAGAGUUCACUAAAAUUCAUUAAUUUCAAAGUUCAACAUGAAUGGUGGUGGUCCACUGCAGAAGCAAGCAUUUGAAAAAACAUCAGUUCUCAGUUAUUAAAGAGUGUGAACAGGUUGUGAAGUGGCAUGCAAAACACGUUCACAGAAGAGGGGCAAAAAUU